rnacentral:rRNA from 1 species
AUACGGAGGGUGCGAGCGUUAAUCGGAAUUACUGGGCGUAAAGCGCGCGUAGGCGGUUUGGUCAGUCGGAUGUGAAAGCCCUAGGCUCAACCUGGGAAUGGCAUUCGAUACUGCCUGACUAGAGUAUGGUAGAGGGAAGUGGAAUUUCCGGUGUAGCGGUGAAAUGCGUAGAUAUCGGAAGGAACACCAGUGGCGAAGGCGACUUCCUGGGCCAAUACUGACGCUGAGGUGCGAAAGCGUGGGAAGCAAACAGGAUUAGAAACCCGAGUAGUCC